UUCAGUAGUUCGAACGAGAAAGAUCAAGAGAGGAAGAAUUGGAAGUGAUUUUUCAACUGUGGGCUUUGAGCAAAUAGUUUUUUUCAGUGUGCCAUUUAUGUCAAUUUCCCAAGCAACUCUCAGCGAGCCUGCUGCUCUCUUUGUGCUUGAAUCAAAACUGUAGUGAUUGGGCCGAUAUAUGUAUAAUCUUGUAGAAUCUAGCGAUGAAUGCCCUAAUAGGCUGGCUUACUGAAUUGUUAGACAGUAAAGAAAAACGGCAACAGGGGUGAUAUUUGUUUCAGAGACUGUAAUCAGUGGGGAGGAAAGAGCUGCAGAAAACGUCUACAUUAGAGUACUUUCGAAGUAUUGUUGAUGUGAUAAAAUUUUAUGUCGUCGGGUAUAGAUGUCUGUUCUCCGAAUUAUAUAAUAUGGGUUAGUGACUGAAAUUGCUUUCUUAAACUAUGGAUCCAUUAGAGAUUUGCUGUGAUUAUAAAUUUAUGGUUUUCUUGGCUGAGUUUCUUAUUAAAGUUCGUCUUACUAGCGAGCUGAAUGUUUUAGAUCCCCUUUACUUGCUGCUUGUUUUAUAAUGCCUAUCAGUUUACUUGUUUCUUAUACUUAUUGCAACAUUGCAUAAAAAUUGAACAGGAGAAAUUGGAGCUUGCACGGAGGCAAGGUAAGAUUAUUAAUUUAUAUGAUUUGCGUUAAUAUUGUUGUAAUCCAGGAGCAUUAAGCUAGAUCAUUAUCCUCAAUUUCAAUGCACAUUCGUAAUCUGGGUGAGCUGGGCAUUGAACUUGUUAGGUGAUGUGUGGAAAAGUUCCUUGGCUUUGAACAGUGGGGAAGCAAUUGGAAUAUCAUAGAUUUUCUUCUGUUCAUUUUAGAUUGUGUUUUAUAGUUCUGAAAAAUAUUUAGGUGCUUUGUAUUGGCAAUUGUUUAUCGACAUCUGCAAGAAUAAUUUAGGUAGUAAUAACUGAUAAUCAAUGGGUUGAAAUUUAAGAUGCAGAAGCUGGAACUUGGAAAUGUCUGACGAUGGCCUGCUUGCCUGGAGGUCAUAAUUUCAUCAUAGGCAAGGGUCGACGUUCAUGGAACUGAGUCAAUUCUGGAUUUUUGGAUCAAAUUCUCGUCAGUACCUUGGUGAACCUCUACCCUAUGCACGUGGACUGGAGAGCGGAGAUGGAAAGGAUGCACGAGAUUGGCAAUGGGUAGAAACAAUCAAGGUAAGGCUUAUUAAUUAGGCCAGCUGAUUUUUCUUUUUUUCUUUUGGGUCUCUUGGAGUGGAAUAUAGACGGGUGGUUGUAAGGGCAGGCAUGGAUUCGGUGGUUCUGAUUGUUUUGGAGACUAAAAUAUGGUUUCCUUUGAACAUUUAUAUUUAGCACGCCCCUGUAGAUAACAUUUUCAUAUUGCUAUUAUCGUUAUCCUACACAUGAGGAAAAUAUCUAAUGGAAAUGAUAUGUACAGCCAAACCAUACUUAUGAAACAGCUGCCUGUGGUUGUAUUUGCCAAAAACCUCUUUUUGGUUCCAGUAACCUUUAAAAAUGAUAUUUUUAGGCCUGUAUCUUCCACAAAAACAUAUGCUAAGUUGAUCUCUCUGGUCAUUUAAAUUCAAUUUGAUUCCAUAUUACUAUUUACU